rnacentral:rRNA from 1 species
UACGGAGGGAGCUAGCGUUAUUCGGAAUUACUGGGCGUAAAGCGCACGUAGGCGGCUUUGUAAGUAAGAGGUGAAAGCCUGGAGCUCAACUCCAGAAUUGCCUUUUAGACUGCAUCGCUUGAAUCAUGGAGAGGUGAGUGGAAUUCCGAGUGUAGAGGUGAAAUUCGUAGAUAUUCGGAAGAACACCAGUGGCUAAGGCGGCUCACUGGACAUGUAUUGACGCUGAGGUGCGAAAGCGUGGGGAGCAAACAGG